ACUUAACCUGUGUCUAAAGCACUGCUGGCCGCCGAUUCUACGCCGCCCGGUCGCCAGGGAGAGUGAAUACAGCUAGGGACGUGAAAGAACGGGGAAGAUAACCGAAGGGUGGUUUGAGAAACCCACCAGGCCAACUGGGAAUUAGAAUUGAUUCAAAACUCCAUUGAUCGCCUGACCUCCAUAAGCUCCUACUCUGCUGCAGUUGAGUGCUGCCACUUAAAUCCUGCAGUCCCGAGAUCCGGUUAUAACCAAUGCAUUUAGAUUUUUCAUUUCGGUGGCAACAAUCUUCAUUGUAAGUUCUGUCCUACAGAGAAGUGUGGUGAUCAAGCUCUUUGGAGAUACUGGGACUCCUCUCACAAAUGUAUGUCUCACAGUUAUGAUGAAUGGUGUAUCUCCUGGAUCUUCCUCAGUUGAGUAUGUUUUAAAGGAAAAAUACACUUUAUCAUUCA
rnacentral:lncRNA from 1 species